rnacentral:rRNA from 1 species
GACGAACGCUGGCGGCGUGCUUAACACAUGCAAGUCGAACGGAAAGGCCCUGCUUUUGUGGGGUGCUCGAGUGGCGAACGGGUGAGUAACACGUGAGUAACCUGCCCUUGACUUUGGGAUAACUUCAGGAAACUGGGGCUAAUACCGGAUAGGAGCUCCUGCUGCAUGGUGGGGGUUGGAAAGUUUCGGCGGUUGGGGAUGGACUCGCGGCUUAUCAGCUUGUUGGUGGGGUAGUGGCUUACCAAGGCUUUGACGGGUAGCCGGCCUGAGAGGGUGACCGGCCACAUUGGGACUGAGAUACGGCCAAGACUCCUACGGGAGGCAGCAGUGGGGAAUAUUGCACAAUGGGCGGAAGCCUGAGGCAGAAACGCCGCGUGCGGGAUGACGGCCUUCGGGUUGUAAACCGCUUUCGCCUGUGACGAAGCGUGAGUGACGGUAAUGGGUAAAGAAGCACCGGCUAACUACGUG